GUUCCUGCCUCCAGGAAUCUGACACUCUACAAGCAGCAAUAGGUGAGGCAUGUAUAUACACGGCUCUACUGUGAGGCAGCAUGAAAUUGGGGUCAUGUAAAGAAGGACCAAGUACACUGAGAAUUCAGAGGGAGCCUCACUUCCAGCAGCUUUGGUCAGUGAAUGCUUUCACCACAGACGAGGAGGCAUCUGAGUUGGGCAUUAAGCCACGAGUCAGAUUUCAGAAGGCACAGAUGGGGGGAAUGAAGCAUCGCAAGCAGACGGAAUGGCAUGAGCAAGGACAGAAGUAGAAAAGUACAGGGAACAAACAGUGAUCCAAUUUGGCUGGACCAUGGUGUACCACAGGGGGUGGUGGUGCUUGGGAGUAAAGGAGUCAGAAAAGUCAAAGUCCACAGAGGGGUUCAUCAGUCCAAAAUACCAGAUGUAACUUCUAGGGAACUACAGUAUCUGAAGAGGUCAGAGGCUUCAUGCCCAGCACAGAGCCCAACACAGGACUUGAACUCAUG